rnacentral:rRNA from 1 species
GACGAACGCUGGCGGCGUGCUUAACACAUGCAAGUCGAACGGAAAGGCCCUGCUGUUGUGGGGUGCUCGAGUGGCGAACGGGUGAGUAACACGUGAGUAACCUGCCCUUGACUUUGGGAUAACUUCAGGAAACUGGGGCUAAUACCGGAUAGGAGCUCCUGCUGCAUGGUGGGGGUUGGAAAGUUUCGGCGGUUGGGGAUGGACUCGCGGCGUAUCAGCUUGUUGGUGGGGUAGUGGCUUACCAAGGCUUUGACGGGUAGCCGGCCUGAGAGGGUGACCGGCCACAUUGGGACUGAGAUACGGCCCAGACUCCUACGCGAGGCAACAGUGGGGAAUAGUGCACAGUGGGAGGAAGCCUGAUGCAGCACCGCCGCGUGCGGGAUGACGGCCUUCGGUUUGUAAACCGCUUUCGCCUGUGACGAAGCGUGAGUGACGGUAAUGGGUAAAGAAGCACCGGCUAACUACGUG